rnacentral:lncRNA from 1 species
UGGGGCAUCCAAAAAUUAGAGAGAAAGACAAUUGAUUUGUAGAGAUAUAAUGGACACAAGACAGGGUGUCUAAGAGAGAGAAAAGAGAAGAAGAAGAGGGUCUUCUUCUAGGGUUGUUAGUUUCAUCUUUUUCCUUCCUCCAUCUUGAGUUUUCUGAGAGUGUCUCAGAUCUAAAACUUCUCCUCCUACUUCUCAUCUUUGAAAGAGACCAUAUCAAGAAG